rnacentral:sRNA from 1 species
UUUGUCUGUUUGUUUCUUUAUGCACUCCUGGUAACUCACAGAACAGAAAAGAGGUUGGUGAUGCUCACUGGGAAUUAGGCAAUGAAGGGCAGACUGCCCAGGGGCGCUUCGCCACGAGCAGGCUAAAAAGAUAAGAAAAUGGGCUUGAGGCGGGAGGAGGAUAAAGUCCCACAGCCUGGGCAGGACUUGGAGAAGGCAUCCCAUUGGAUCCCCUGCUUUGGAGUGGGCAUCGUUUAAAUAGUAAAAUCUCCCUGUGAUAUAGGGGUGUUAUUUUCUCCCAUCCUCUUCCAAAAUCCCAGUGCCUCUUGUUCCCUUCCCCACAGCUCCCACCUCCAUGCCCUUCAUAUGCCCACCCCAGCCGACCUCUGUUUGCCCCUACAGGUGAACACCAUCCCAGCAUCCUUCCACGACGGGCUCCUGCUCUAUAUCCAGGCAGUGACGGAGACUCUGGCACAUGGGGGAACUGUCAC